rnacentral:rRNA from 1 species
GAUGAACGCUAGCGGCAGGCCUAAUACAUGCAAGUCGAGGGGCAGCGCGGUAGCAAUACUGGCGGCGACCGGCGCACGGGUGCGUAACACGUAUGCAACCUACCUUCAACUGGAGGAUAGCCCGGGGAAACUCGGAUUAAUACUCCAUAACACAGGGAUCCCGCAUGGGAAUAUUGUUAAAGCUACGGCGGUUGAAGAUGGGCAUGCGUUCGAUUAGCUAGUUGGUGUAGGUAACGGCUCACCAAGGCUACGAUCGAUAGGGGGUCUGAGAGGAUGAUCCCCCACACUGGUACUGAGAUACGGACCAGACUCCUACGGGAGGCAGCAGUAGGGAAUAUUGGUCAAUGGGCGCAAGCCUGAACCAGCCAUGCCGCGUGCAGGAAGAAGGCCCUCUGGGUUGUAAACUGCUUUGAUAGGGACAAAUGCCACUUGCGAGUGGAGCUGAGUGUACCUAUAGAAUAAGCACCGGCUAACUCCGUGCCAGCAGCCGCGGUAA